AGGUUAAUAUUCCUGUACUUGGUGUUACUGCGAAGGGGGGACGGAGAAGGCUAUGUUAGCCGGGCGACGGUUGUCCCGGUUUAAGCAUGUAGGCUGAUUAUCCAGGCAAAUCCGGAUAAUCAAGGCUGAGGUGUGAUGACGAGGCACUACGGUGCUGAAGUAACAAAUGCCCUGCUUCCAGGAAAAGCCUCUAAGCAUCAGGUAACAUCAAAUCGUACCCCAAACCGACACAGGUGGUCAGGUAGAGAAUACCAAGGCGCUUGAGAGAACUCGGGUGAAGGAACUAGGCAAAAUGGUGCCGUAACUUCGGGAGAAGGCACGCUGGUGUGUAGGUGAAGUCCCUGCGGAUGGAGCUGAGACCAGUCGAAGAUACCAGCUGGCUGCAACUGUUUAUUAAAAACACAGCACUGUGCAAACACGAAAGUGGACGUAUACGGUGUGACGCCUGCCCGGUGCCGGAAGGUUAAUUGAUGGGGUUAUCCGUAAGGAGAAGCUCUUGAUCGAAGCCCCGGUAAACGGCGGCCGUAACUAUAACGGUCCUAAGGUAGCGAAAUUCCUUGUCGGGUAAGUUCCGACCUGCACGAAUGGCGUAAUGAUGGCCAGGCUGUCUCCACCCGAGACUCAGUGAAAUUGAACUCGCUGUGAAGAUGCAGUGUACCCGCGGCAAGACGGAAAGACCCCGUGAACCUUUACUAUAGCUUGACACUGAACAUUGAGCCUUGAUGUGUAGGAUAGGUGGGAGGCUUUGAAGCGUGGACGCCAGUCUGCGUGGAGCCAACCUUGAAAUACCACCCUUUAAUGUUUGAUGUUCUAACGUUGGCCCCUUACCGGGGUUGCGGACAGUGUCUGGUGGGUAGUUUGACUGGGGCGGUCUCCUCCCAAAGCGUAACGGAGGAGCACGAAGGUUAGCUAAUCCUGGUCGGACAUCAGGAGGUUAGUGCAAUGGCAUAAGCUAGCUUGACUGCGAGCGUGACGGCGCGAGCAGGUGCGAAAGCAGGUCAUAGUGAUCCGGUGGUUCUGAAUGGAAGGGCCAUCGCUCAACGGAUAAAAGGUACUCCGGGGAUAACAGGCUGAUACCGCCCAAGAGUUCAUAUCGACGGCGGUGUUUGGCACCUCGAUGUCGGCUCAUCACAUCCUGGGGCUGAAGUAGGUCCCAAGGGUAUGGCUGUUCGCCAUUUAAAGUGGUACGCGAGCUGGGUUUAGAACGUCGUGAGACAGUUCGGUCCCUAUCUGCCGUGGGCGCUGGAGAAUUGAGGGGGGCUGCUCCUAGUACGAGAGGACCGGAGUGGACGCAUCACUGGUGUUCGGGUUGUCAUGCCAAUGGCACUGCCCGGUAGCUAAAUGCGGAAGAGAUAAGUGCUGAAAGCAUCUAAGCACGAAACUUGCCCCGAGAUGAGUUCUCCCUGAGACUUUAAGUCUCCUGAAGGAACGUUAAAGACGAUGACGUUGAUAGGCCGGGUGUGUAAGCGCAGCGAUGCGUUGAGCUAACCGGUACUAAUGAACCGUGAGGCUUAACCUU
rnacentral:rRNA from 1 species